GUUUAAGCAGCUUUGUUUGUAAAAAGUUCAAAGUGUUCUUAAUUUAUUGGAAAUAUGGAUUAUUGAUAGUUGAAGUUACAGCAGAGAGAGAGUUUGACAGUAUGCGUGUUUGAAGAAGAUAAUGCUAUUAUUGGUACAUUCAAUUCCACGAACUGAGUGUUGAUUUCCUCGAUUUCAUUGACUCGAUGAUUCAUUCUCUGAUUGAUGAUUGUUGAUUAAAUGUUCUAAUGAUCAAUCAACUUAUUGAUUUACUGAUUGAUUGGACAUGUCAUGGAGCUUAAUAUAGAUGGAGAAGUAACUUAGACGUCAUACAGUUAAAUUCAGUAUUAUUGGGGUUGUUCUAACGCAAGUUAUCAUGUGUUUCGGGAUUUUCCAAGAUUUGAUGCAUCCUGGGUAAUAGUAGCCAAAAUACCGCCAUAUUGAAUUCCAAGAGGAACAUUGACAAAAAAAGACGAAGCAUUUUCUACUUACAUAAGAAGCAAUAGUUAUUUAUGUUAAAACGUACCAUACACACUUUUCCACACAGAUAUUUCUCAAAAAAAACAAUGUCGGCAAUGUAAACAGUAGUUCAUGGAUAUCGCCGAAGUUUAACGAGAGUGCGAGAAUCGGGGACUAGUGGGAAAACCCGAUUAUCACCGAAGCGCACUGUGGAUCUGAAUCUGACUAUCAACUAUUUUCUGAGCUUCCUAUCCAUUGUAUAUAUAUCUGUGGACAUGUAAGACGAAUAUAUGUGAACUGUAAGAUGUUAAAAUGUGCAAAGUUGUUUGUUUAGAAGAGAAAUACACAAUUUUUGGAGAAACUUUUUGUUUGAAUGAUCAAGGUAUAAACACUUUUUGUAAAUGAACAUCAGGCUACCAUUUUCAUAGUAAUGGCAGGGCUUCCAUUAAUGGAAGUUUGGGAGUCAUUUCACUCCUUGAAUUUGGCUUGUGACUUCCAAAAUGUAAUGCUUUUUUCUUCUUUACCAAUAUUUUGUGACUUCCAAUGUCAAGACAUUUUGCAGUCUUUGACUUCCAAAUUUUGGAUCUUAAUGGAAGCCCUGAAUGCCAAUGGACCUACAUGUUUCACCUAAAUUGUAUUGGAAAUAUGUGAAAAACUUCCUUGUAAAAAAGUUUCUAGC